ensembl:lncRNA
AGUCACUUCCUGAAAUCUGCAUUCAAAUAGUUUUAAUAAGUAGUCACUUCCUGAAAUCUGUAUUCAAAUAGUUUUAAUAAGUAGUCACUUCCUGAAAUCUGUAUUCAAAUAGUUUUAAUAAGUAGUCACUUCCUGAAAUCUGUAUUCAAAUAGUUUUAAUAAGUAGUCACUUCCUGAAAUCUGUAUUCAUAUGGUUUUAAUAAGUAGUCACUUCCUGAAAUCUAUAUUCAAAUAGUUUUAAAAAGUCACCUCCAAAGUGGCUAUUUGUUCCCCAAUCAUUCCAAAGCAGUUAAAGGGAAUGGGGCGCCAUUUGGGACAAACAGAGUGGGGUGUAUGGAAUAUAAUAUUCAGACCCAGGUCUAAGAGAUGGAACAGGCUGGGACAAACAGAGUGGGGAGUAUGGAGUAUAAUAUCCAGACCCAGGUCUAAGAGAUGGAACAGGCUGGGACAAACAGAGUGGUGAGUAUGGAGUAUAAUAUCCAGACCCAGGUCUAAGAGAUGGAACAAACAGAGUGGUGAGUAUGGAGUAUAAUAUCCAGACCCAGGUCUAAGAGAUGGAACAGGCUGGGACAAACAGAGUGGGG